rnacentral:rRNA from 1 species
UACGUAGGUCGCAAGCGUUAUCCGGAAUUACUGGGCGUAAAGCGCUCGCAGGCGGCCUUUUAAGUUUGACGUGAAAGCUCCCGGCUUAACUGGGAGAGGUCGUUGAAUACUGGAAGACUUGAGGAAAUGAGAGGGGUGUAGAAUUCCCGGUGUAGUGGUGGAAUGCGUAGAUAUCGGGGGGAAUACCAGUGGCGAAAGCGGCACCCUAGCAUUUUUCUGACGCUCAUGUGCGAAAGCGUGGGGAGCGAACGGG